rnacentral:rRNA from 1 species
GCAGUCGCCACGGUAAUACGUAGGUCCCGAGCGUUGUCCGGAUUUAUUGGGCGUAAAGCGAGCGCAGGCGGUUGGAUAAGUCUGAAGUUAAAGGCUGUGGCUUAACCAUAGUACGCUUUGGAAACUGUUUAACUUGAGUGCAGAGGGGGAGAGUGGAAUUCCAUGUGUAGCGGUGAAAUGCGUAGAUAUAUGGAGGAACACCGGUGGCGAAAGCGGCUCUCUGGUCUGUAACUGACGCUGAGGCUCGAAAGCGUGGGGAGCAAACAGGAUUAGAUACCCCAGUAGUCCCUGUCUCUUAUACA